AUCUAUAAAAGGAGAGUGAGCUAGUCGCCCAAAUCAUCACCUGCUCACAAGUCUUAAGAUUUUGGAAGUGGAGCUUUGAGUGACUGAGGUAGGAUGAGGAGGAACACACUUCUUGCACUCUUCAUUUGGGCAAUGGCUGCAGUCAUCUUUGCUGUGGCCAUGCCUGCAGCAGCCAGGAGGGACGGUAUUCACCCGCAAGGGUGCCGAUGCUGCUAUUUCACGAGGAAUGGCAUCUGGAUUCAGUGUGGCAAAACCUGCUGUGGCUCUGACGAUGAGAACUGUUGCUUGGGAAGCCACUAGUAGGUCGUCACUCGUCCGGGUCUGAAUAAGUGGCCUUCAGAUCAAAUCCUUGUGCAUCUCAGUUAUCUUUCCAUGCGCAUCUGCUAAAGGCUGCCCGAAAUAAAAUCGAUGUAUGUUCCAACACGACAUAUUUUCCCCACUUGUAUUCUGGUAUCUAAAUGUGGGUUCCAUUUCAACACUACAGUUCUGUACUGUCCUCAGUAAUACGUACUAUGUAGUACGUAGUUUCUCACGACUCAAUUGUACGGAGUAAGAAAAAAGAAUCCAAUAAAUAUAUGUAUUUGUUCAUAGA